UUGAAAGGGAUUAGGGUUCGUACAUGGUUGUGGCGAUUGGGAUUUUCUUCUCAACCUCGCUCAUAGCAACGGCGGCGAAACCAUUCCAAUUGAUCCCUCUGUUUACCUCUCUGCUCACCUCUUCGUCUCCUUCUCUCGCUUUCGAAUCUGCCCGACGCUCAUGAACUCACUGUGGAAUGGUUGCAGUUUGUGUGGAGGUCGAUGCGACAUCAAAGUUGUUGAUUACGAUAGUGAUUGAACGCAAUUUGGAGAAAACCUUCUUUGAUUAUGGAUUGAAGAUCGAUUGGAAAAAAGUGAGUUCUUUUGGAGAUUGAAUGAUUGGAGACGAUUAUAGUGAAGCACCGCGAUUGGAGUGAUAAUGAUGAUGAUUGAAGUUUGUUAUGAAUUCUUGAUGUGUAUUGAAGCUUUGAUGAUGGUGAAUAAUGUUGAAGUUGCGGAAGUUUGUGUUGGGGUCAAGAUUGGACGAUGAUUUCCUGAUUUUGUUGAAGAGAGGAUUGGAGAGAUUGCCGAUUCUGUUGGAAAUUGAAGAAGGUGAUUGAAGAGUGAGUGAAAUCGAUGGAUAUGGAAGAGAGAGAGGUUCUGUUUGAUGGUUGAAUCAAGGGUUGAGGAAGAAUAAGAUAGAUUAUGGAUUGUGGAAGAUGGUGGAGAUAAUUGGAGAAGGAGAAUGAUGAAUUGAAGAAGAAGAUUGAAGAUGGAGGGAGAAGUGUUAUGAAGAUGAAUGGUGAAGAUGGAAAUGGUGGAGGAAUGGAAGUGAAGGGGGUGAUGAAGAGAAGAGAGUGAUGAAGUGAAGAGAGUGAUGAAGUGAAGAGAGCAACAAUGGUGGAAGAGAUUCUGAUUUAUAGAACAGGUGGAAUUAUGGUUGGAGGAUGGUGUUCGUGAUGUGAAGACGGCUGGAGUAAAGGGCUACAACGGUCACCCUUAGAGCUUGAUGAAAGUGAGAUGGUUUUGAAGACAUGAUGUAAUAGGUUUAGGAUUUUUGUGUAAUUCAAUUUUUGUGACAAAUUGUAUGGACAUGUAUUGUAAUGGAUUUGGAUGAACACUUGAAUGAAG